GGCAGAAAAAGGCGGUUCAGCGACACCCUUCACACGGGUGGGGUCGCAGGUUCAAUCCCUGCAUCGCCCACCA
rnacentral:tRNA from 1 species